CUGUUGCCCUGCAGGGAUCCUGAAACGCUCCAGGGCACCCCACUUGGACACAGCUCCUGGAGGCUGACGACCUGAGGCUGGGGAGACGGGGAAGCACCUCCCCUGGCUGGCUAGAGAGGCCGCUGAGCUGGAAAAUGGACCUGGAGGGAGAACACACCCUGCCAGUGUCCUGGAAGAAGGCUGACCCCAGUGGAGACAAGUCAGGUGAGUUUGGGGCUGGUGAACAGAAUGUAUGGAGGGCCUCCAGGUCCUUCCAAGCACGGGAGGCUUUGUGGGGUACACUGAAGAACCGCCCUGUGCUGGGGGAAAUGGCCACAGGUCAGGAAAAUCCUCUGGGCUGGAGGGUGCAGCCCGAUUGUAUGGGAGGGGGCUGAGGGCCCAGUUCAGUGGGGCUUGAGCAGUGGUCCAGGUGGGAGGUCCAUUGAGGAGUCUGCCACCAGGCCUGGGGACUGCUACGCUGGG
ensembl:lncRNA